UUCUGUUUUUCUUUGAUUGCAGUAAGCUCUGCCAAGGCUGUCACUUAUUCUUUGUUUCUCCCUUCAGUCUCUGUCUUGUACUCAGCCACUCCACUGUCUCUUUUAUUUUUUUGUCUGGAGGGGAUUGACAGAAUGCAAGUGGGUGUCAGCAAAUGCUGAUUUUUUUCAUACCUUUUGUUCUGAUUAGGACCGAUUUGACCGCCACCUCCUGCUGUGCCUUGGAAUCUCACUUGGAUUUCUGUUUUCUGUUGGUCUUUCUGAGGGGAGGUGCUCCAAAACUGCUUGGAUCUUAUUGUUUACAUGAGGAUUUUUAUUUUUUUAUUUUUUAUUUUUAUCCGAAGUGACAUGAGGAUCUUAAAUGGAUGUUUGUAGUAUUUCUACUGCUUUUUCAUCAUUGUUGAUUUUGGUACAUUAUUCUUGAGUUAAAAGCUCUGGAAACAACAUAACAGAGUCAUUUAUAACUAGGAGUCAUGUUAGAAAUACACUGUGGUGUUCUCUGCAGAAGCACAGGCAGGUGGCUGUGUUGUUUCAAGUUCAACUGAGACCAUGAAGAAAAUUUGGUCAAAGAAAAGAUUCCAGAGAGCUGGACACUCUAGCAGGACAUUUGGGAGUUUCACUCAUGUUUUUCGCUUGUGCAGGAAGCAAAGCAAUGACUCAGAUCACACAGAGGAUGAAAGUGGAGAGCCUCGGGUGUCUAUGGAGAUGAAGGAACAGUCCACACCUCCUCAGGGGCAAGCAGUCGACAGUCGACUCACAAGCAGUGGAAAGACAGUGGUUUCCCAUAUCCCAUGUGACGGUCUAGUAGUGGAGAGGGAAUUGCGAGUUCUGGGCUCCAGAGCUCCUGGUUUUCAGGAUCCCUUGCCACCUGCCCAGCAAACAAAUGCUGUGUGUGUUGAAAGCCCUCCAGUCAGACACCUGGGGGUUGAGGCUCUCGUGCGGGCUUCACAAAUAAGUGUGUACUACCCCGCAGUGGGGUCGGAGGAGAGUAUGUCCUUAACCAGUGACAACUAUGGUAGUGUUUUCAGCCUCUAUCGAAGAAGGACGUUUUCCAUUUACAGUGCUCAAGAGUAAAUGCUGGCAUACUGGAUAUGUAAAGGACAAAAUAACUUGAAUUAAAGGGGCACAAAAAAUGUGUACUCAGUGUAGUACACCAUAAGUCUAAAGUGAUAUCUUUUGAAUCCUUUCCAUAAAAUGUCUUGAAUUAUUUUGGCCUUUUAUGUAAUUUUUAAUGUUUUUGUUGAUUCCUUCUUUCUUUGAAUUCACUGGCAUUGUGUUUUGAUUUGAUAUUAUAAUUAAUACAAAAUGUGCCUUUUCCCUCACAAACCUUUUUGCAUGCCUUUCUAUCAUGACAUACCUUUUUGUGUUCAUUUUAUUUAUUAAAUUAAAUUAAUUAAUUUAUAUAUUAAUGUAUUUAUUUAUUUAUUAUUUUUAUGCACGUUUCAGUGAAUUACUUAAAUUUAUUUUGGUUUUGUUUUGUCACAAAAAAUUAUGCACCAACAGCAUAAUAUGCAGCCAUUUUGACAUAUUCUCAAAAUUUCUUUGUCAUAAUGAAACUUUGCCCACAAUCACCCUCAUUUCUGUGGUAAACUGGACUUUAUUAGAAGGAAAUCUUCCCCAUUUGUCCAAACCAGGCCAUUCCAAAAUGCUCAGAGCUCAAUCACUUCAAGUGAUCCCACAACAGGUUCAACAACUUUUCACAAUGGCACUGUGGCAGAGCGGAGGGCGGGGCCGGGUCGUGAUUCUACACACCCGGCUCCUAAUCAGGCACCAGUGUGACACAUUCAUGGAAAGGAGGAGGCGAGAACCGGCUUGAUAAUAUAAAUAAUAGUUUAAUAAUGGACUUAAACCAAAAGACACAAACAUACACAGUGUCGGACAGCUGUCCGUAACUCUCUCUCUGUCGCACUGCUGUCUCCAGUCGGCCUUUAUCCCUCUCGGGCUAAUCAGCCUCAGUUGGUGCCAGAUGGGCUGGUUUGAGUAUUUCUGUAACUGCUGAUCUUCUGGGAUUUUCACGCACAACAGUCUCUCGAAUUUACUCAGAAUGGUGCCAAAAACAAAAAACAUCAGUGAGCGGCAGUUCUGCGGAUGGAAAUGCCUUGUUGAUGAGAGAGGUCAACAGAGAAUGGCCAGACUGGUUUGAACUGACAAUGUCUACGGUAACUCAGAUAAACGCUCUGUAAAGUUGUAGUGAGAAGAAUAUAAUCUCAGAAUUCUAUUCUGUUUUGGUGGCACAAGGGGGACCUACACGAUAUUAGGUAAGUGGUUUUAAUUUUGUGGCUGAUUGGUGUAUGUUACCUUAAGGUCACUUGGUCUUCCUAGAGGAUUCAUCAGAUGAUUCCUACAUGUCUUCAGAGGAGGACUCAACAGAGGACCCUUUGAUUGAACUUCAUCAAUACUGUGGUAGCUGCCGAAUCAGAGUUGAUGCUUCUGUGCAUCUUCAAGCGAAACCCUGUCCCCCAAGGCAAGGCAUCUCAGACCCCUCUAAUAACUAAGUUAUUAUUUAAAUGGCUUUGAUGGUUCUUUAAAAACAUCUUUAGAUUUCUACAUUCAAAAUUUCUUCAUUUUAGAAAGUAGGUUAGCAUUUUAUAGAUAUUCCAUUUUUAAACACCUCAUUCAAUAUCUUCUUAAGUUAAAUAUUUUUUGUAAAUUAUUUUCUCCUUACUAAAAUUCCAAUAUUAUCAUAAUUUUUGCUAUAACUGUUGGUUAAACAAGUGAACACAAUAAAACUACACUGGGCAUUGAAGCGUCAACUUUAUAAUUAAGGUAGAUUUUACUUGAACUCUUGAACUAUGUUUUCAGGACAAAGGUAUGGGGCAUGUUGUCAAAAAAAGGUCAAUGUUUGUUCAAUGAACUGUGUCUUUUUUCUUGAUUGUAUUGGUGGAAAUGAUCAAUAAACUUUUUUGUAGCCAAGACAUUAAGGUAUGUGUAUAUACAGAAAUUGAUUGAAGAGUAUAUAUAUAUAUAUAAUAUAUAUUUUUUAUUUAUUUAUUUAUUUUUUUUCACAAAUAGAAAAUGGAAAGAACAUAACUGUGAUAAGUUCAUGGACAAUGGAGGAGUCAGGAGGGAGCAAACUGUCAGCGUCCCAGCCCCCCAUUAAAUACUGCUUCACUAAUGCAUGGCUUCGGGAUUCAUAUGCUGCAUUCCAUUCAAGUUGGAUGUGGGACUGCUGGUCUGACAAAACAGUUGUAAAUAAUGAAGACUGUAACAGCUGGCGAAACUUCAGUUGAUACAGCACCUUACAAAUGAUGGCUCAAAGAAUACUUGCGGGAGCACCAGCCCAGACAUGCAAAGUCAGCAACAAAACACAAGAUCCUUCUGAGAGUCUACCAGCAUGGGCCUCCAUCGCCAGCCAUUCUAAUCUAACAGAGAUUCAAUCAGUCAGUGAAAAAAUAAUGACUAGACAAGGGUAAAGUUAAAGAGUCUUUAAGGACUGGAAAUUCCAUCGGAGAGCUCCCUGUUUGAUGCAUGGAAAGUUGUCAAAGAAGUUGGUCAAGUGUUGAACUUUGAAAGUCUUACAUCAAAGACCACAUCUCAAGAACAAAUAUUGAAUAUUUUUCUGUUGUUGAUGUUUAUGGUGUUGAUUACAGGAAAGUUACUGACUGAUAGCCAGGUAACAGUUGUUUCAGGAUAACGACCAGUGUUGUGUAACGUUUAAAAGUAACUUGUUAGAAUAUUGUUACUUCUUAAAAAAGUUACUUAAUUAAUUAAAAAGUUAAUUUUUAUGGAAAGUAAAGUGUUACGUUACUUUUGCAUUAUUUUUGCGUUACUUUUUCUCACAGCCACUUUCUCUUCUGCUAUGCUAUGCAUUCCAUACAAAUAAGCCAUGCAUUGCAUACAAGAGACAUUACAGGUCAUGCUAGCUACUGUACAACACUCAUGUCAAAACAACAUAGUAAACAAACAGAUAUUUAGAAAGUAUUUCUUCAUGUCAUAUUUAUAAUAAAGAAUCAAUAACAUGAAUAUGCAUGAUUUGUUUUUCCAUCAACAUGGCAUCCAAUAUGAAUUAUGAAGAAUAACAACUUACCUAAAGCAGCAAAGUCCAACACUUGAACCUGCAUCAUAUAUGUCAUCAUAUGUGGUGCCCAUCGAUAAUGCCAGUCAACUUAAGAUGUUCUUCAAAAGUCAGGAUAAAAUUCAGUGGGGAAUGCCAGUCUAACAUGUUCAAGUAAUGUGUCUGAUAAUAAAAUAAUAUUUUUCACUUAAGUCAUCUCAGUGCAGGCUUGUUUUGACUUGAUCCAUGGUGACAGACGGCACUGGUUGAUUGCAUACAACUUCAAAGGCGCA